AGGGUCAUGGUCAUUCUGUGGAAGGCUGUCAGGGACAAGGAGGGACUAAGUCCAAGGGAUUAGUAAGUCCUGGGAUCGUGCCCUGGAGUAAGGAGUCUGGUCCUUGGAGUACUGGAUAGGACAGGUUUGGAAGGGCCUGAAGGUGUAACCACAGGGAGUUGCUACCAGCCCUUCCAUUUGCAGUAUUCAUAGAGACGAGGAAACCCGCGCUACUGGAUGGUCAUUGGUGACAAGAUGCAACACAGAAAGGAGUUCAUUCCUGUUCCACACUGACAAGAUGGCUGCCUGACAGCAGCAGCACCUAUGAAGCUGGAAAACAAAAGCUCAUGAUUUUCAUAUUUAUUUGCACUGAAGAUCCUCUGGGAUUCCCAAUGUGCCCCUCAGUCAAAGGUGCUCAGCGUAUGCAUCUUGUCUUGGAUAUCUACCUGCAAGGUCUCUUUGAUCCCAAAAUGGGGACAGAAUGAAGUGAGUUGCACUGUAUGCUAUGAGGAAAGCCUUGUUAUGUUUGACCCUGUGUUUGUUUCUGGUAUAAUUCCUGAGCCAAAAACAGUGCAAUGGUUAGUCUUAAUCUGAUUUUAUAUCUCUUCUUUCCUGCAUUUGCUAAAUACAUAUCAACUGUCCAUGACAGCAAGAAUAUAAAGCCCUGGAGAAAUAAUUUUGCUGAUGAACACAGCUACUGUUUUUAAACUGAGACCUGUUAACAACCCUCACUGCAGACUGUUACUAAGCUUAGACCUUUAUCAUUUCUCAUAUUCAUAUUUCAUAUGGAGUACGUGUUGCUGCUUUGCUUGGAAAUAGGAUUACCUGCUAACACAUGCCAUCAUGAAAAAGAAAAGCAGCCUUAGCUCAACAAAACUUGCGUUUAGGCUAUUGGAAGUGACACUGGUGUAACACUGAUGGAAUUCACCAGCUAGUGCUAUUCCAAAUAGUCCUGAGUUCUGUGUAUCUGAUUUGUGUAGGAGCAAGAUCUUGAAGAAAUACUCGUUGUCCACUGUGAUGCAAUAUUCUUUAGGUGCUGAGCACUGUAUUAUAACUAACCCCAAGCAUUCAAAAAUCAUGAUAUAAGUUCAAAAUAACACAAGAUUGGUUAGGAAAUAAUAAGAUCUAAAAAUAUAAUACAUUUGUGGGAGGGGUUUGAAUUUGCCUUCUAGUUUUUGGACCAUUAUUAGAGUGCACUGGUGUCCUGUUUCAAGCUUUUUUUCUGCAACUUUGAAAGUUAGAAAUGUAUUUUCUUGUCUAAAUGAAAAGUGGAAAGUUUCAUGUUUAAUCACUUGACUCCAGGGGUUGGAGCUUUGAGGAAAAACACCAAAUAUAAUGUGUUGGCAACAGAGUAUUAUCAGUAAAAUCUAUUUUGUUUUACACUCUGAUCAAAAAUUAUUCUUAGAUGUAGCCGCUGCCUAAAGAUCAUAGCCAAGCAAGUGUCAUUCAUGUUACUCAGGGACCCCCUGUAGUGGCCAGCCCAU